rnacentral:rRNA from 1 species
AUUGAACGCUGGCGGCAUGCCUUACACAUGCAAGUCGAGCGGUAACAGGUCUUCGGAUGCUGACGAGUGGCGAACGGGUGAGUAAUACAUCGGAACGUGCCUAGUAGUGGGGGAUAACUACUCGAAAGAGUGGCUAAUACCGCAUGAGAUCUACGGAUGAAAGCAGGGGAUCGCAAGACCUUGUGCUACUAGAGCGGCCGAUGGCAGAUUAGGUAGUUGGUGGGGUAAAAGCUUACCAAGCCGACGACCUGUAGCUGGUCUGAGAGGACGAUCAGCCACACUGGGACUGAGACACGGCCCAGACUCCUACGGGAGGCAGCAGUGGGGAAUUUUGGACAAUGGGCGAAAGCCUGAUCCAGCAAUGCCGCGUGCAGGAUGAAGGCCUUCGGGUUGUAAACUGCUUUUGUACGGAACGAAAAGCCCCGGGUUAAUACCCUGGGGUCAUGACGGUACCGUAAGAAUAAGCACCGGCUAACUACGUGCCAGCCGCCGCCGUAA